rnacentral:rRNA from 1 species
UACGGAGGGUGCAAGCGUUAAUCGGAAUUACUGGGCGUAAAGCGCACGCAGGUGGCUGAGUCAGUCGAUUGUGAAAGCCCUGGGCUUAACCUAGGAAUUGCAGUCGAUACUACUCAGCUAGAGUAUGGUAGGGGCAGAGGGAAUUCCAGGUGUAGCGGUGAAAUGCGUAGAUAUCUGGAGGAACACCGGUGGCGAAGGCGGCAUCCUGGACCGGCAUUGACGCUGAGGAGCGAAAGCCAGGGGAGCAAACGGG